GACAGAGGAGCCAAGCGUUGUCCGGACUGACUGGGCGUAAAGCGCCCGCGGGCGGCCGUGCACGUGGGGUGUGAAAGCGCUCGGCUUAACUGAGCGAGGCCAUCCCAUACGGCGCGGCUCGAGCCGUCCAGAGGCCGGUGGAAUUGCCGGUGUAGUGGUGAAAUGCGCAGAUAUCGGGAGGAACACCAAUGGCGAAGGCAGCUCGCUGGGACGUUACUGACGCUGAGACGCGAAAGCGUGGGGAGCAAACAGG
rnacentral:rRNA from 1 species